rnacentral:rRNA from 1 species
GACGAACGCUGGCGGCGUGCUUAACACAUGCAAGUCGUACGGUAAGGCCCUUUCGGGGGUCCACGAGUGGCGAACGGGUGAGUAACACGUGAGUAACCUGCCCACAACUUUGGGAUAACGCUAGGAAACUGGUGCUAAUACUGGAUAUGUGCCCCUGCUGCAUGGUGGGGGUUGGAAAGCUCCGGCGGUUGUGGAUGGACUCGCGGCCUAUCAGCUUGUUGGUGGGGUAGUGGCCUACCAAGGCGGCGACGGGUAGCCGGCCUGAGAGGGUGACCGGCCACAUUGGGACUGAGAUACGGCCCAGACUCCUACGGGAGGCAGCAGUGGGGAAUAUUGCACAAUGGGCGCAAGCCUGAUGCAGCAACGCCGCGUGCAGGAUGACGGCCUUCGGGUUGUAAACCGCUUUCAGCAGGGACGAAGCUUUUUGUGACGGUACCUGCAGAAGAAGCACCGGCUAACUACGUG